GACGAACGCUGGCGGCGCGCUUAACACAUGCAAGUCGAACGGAAAGGCCUGCUUUCCCUUGUGGAUUGCGGGUACUCGAGUGGCGAACGGGUGAGUAACACGUGAGUGAUCUGCCCCCAACUUGGGUAUAAGCCUGGGAAACUGGGUCUAAUUCCCGAUAGGACUGCAGGGUGGUGCCUGUGGUGGAAAACGAUUUUCUAGUGGUUGGGGAUGAGCUCGCGGCCUAUCAGCUUGUUGGUGGGGUAAUGGCCUACCAAGGCGGCGACGGGUAGCCGACCUGAGAGGGUGGACGGCCACAUUGGGACUGAGAUACGGCCCAGACUCCUACGGGAGGCAGCAGUGGGGAAUAGUGCACAAUGGGCGGAAGCCUGAUGCAGCGACGCCGCGUGGGGGAUGACGGCCUUCGGGUUGUAAACUCCUUUCGACCGCGAGGAAGCCACCUGGUUGGAAGGGUGGUGACGGUAGUGGUAGAAGAAGCACCGGCUAACUACGUG
rnacentral:rRNA from 1 species